ensembl:snRNA U2 U2 spliceosomal RNA
AUCGCUUCUUGGCCUUUUGGCUGAGAUCAAGUGUAGCUAUUAUUUGUCUCCAUUAGGUUUUUUAUUUUUAUUUUUAUUUUUUUUUUUUUUUCACAGGUAGAGUGGACAGUGAGAGAGACAGAGAGAAAGAUCUUCCUUUGCCGUUGGUUCACCCUCC